GAUGAACGCUAGCGGCAGGCCUAACACAUGCAAGUCGAGGGAGAGGUUAUCUUCGGGUAACCAAAACCGGCGCACGGGUGCGUAACGCGUAUACAAUCUGCCUUUCACAUAGGGAUAGCCCGAAGAAAUUUGGAUUAAUACCUAAUGGUAUAUAAGAGCGGCAUCGUUUUUAUAUUAAAGCUACGGUGGUGAAAGAUGAGUAUGCGUUCUAUUAGCUAGUUGGGGAGGUAACGGCUCCCCAAGGCGACGAUAGAUAGGGGUUCUGAGAGGGAUGUCCCCCACACUGGUACUGAGAUACGGACCAGACUCCUACGGGAGGCAGCAGUGAGGAAUAUUGGACAAUGGUCGGAAGACUGAUCCAGCCAUGCCGCGUGCAGGAUGAAGGUCCUAUGGAUUGUAAACUGCUUUUGUAAGGGAAGAAUAAGGAGUACGUGUAUUUUGAUGACGGUACCUUACGAAUAAGCAUCGGCUAACUCCGUGCCAGCAGCCGCGGUAAUACGGAGGAUGCGAGCGUUAUCCGGAAUCAUUGGGUUUAAAGGGUCCGUAGGCGGGCUGAUAAGUCAGAGGUGAAAGCGCUUAGCUCAACUAAGCAACUGCCUUUGAAACUGUCAGUCUUGAAUGAUUGUGAAGUAGUUGGAAUGUGUAGUGUAGCGGUGAAAUGCUUAGGUAUUACACAGAACACCGAUAGCGAAGGCAUAUUACUAACAAUUUAUUGACGCUGACGGACGAAAGCGUGGGGAGCGAACAGG
rnacentral:rRNA from 1 species